rnacentral:rRNA from 1 species
UUCCGGUUGAUCCUGCCGGACCUGACUGCUAUCGGAUUGAUACUAAGCCAUGCGAGUCAUUGUAGCAAUACAAGGCAUACGGCUCAGUAACGCGUAGUCAACCUAACCUAUGGACGGGAAUAACCUCGGGAAACUGAGAAUAAUGCCCGAUAGAACAUUAUGCCUGGAAUGGUUUAUGUUCCAAAUGAUUUAUCGCCGUAGGAUGGGACUGCGGCCUAUCAGUUUGUUGGUGAGGUAAUGGCCCACCAAGACUAUUACAGGUACGGGCUCUGAGAGGAGUAGCCCGGAGAUGGGUACUGAGACACGGACCCAGGCCCUAUGGGGCGCAGCAGGCGAGAAAACUUUGCAAUGUGCGAAAGCACGACAAGGUUAAUCCGAGUGGUUUCUGCUAAAGAAACCUUUUGUCAGUCCUAGAAACACUGAUGAAUAAGGGGUGGGCAAGUUCUGGUGUCAGCCGCCGCGGUAAAACCAGCACCUCAAGUGGUCAGGAUGAUUAUUGGGCCUAAAGCAUCCGUAGCCGGCUCUGUAAGUU